GAUGAACGCUAGCGACAGGCCUAACACAUGCAAGUCGAGGGGCAGCACAAGGAGCAAUCUGAGGUGGCGACCGGCGCACGGGUGAGUAACACGUAUGCAACCUACCUGUAAGAGGGGAAUAACCCGUUGAAAAACGGACUAAUACCGCAUAACACUGUAGAACCGCAUGGUUUGACAGUUAAACAUUUAUGGCUUACAGAUGGGCAUGCGCAUGAUUAGCUAGUUGGUGAGGUAACGGCUCACCAAGGCAACGAUCAUUAGGGGUUCUGAGAGGAAGGUCCCCCACACUGGUACUGAGACACGGACCAGACUCCUACGGGAGGCAGCAGUGAGGAAUAUUGGUCAAUGGGCGAGAGCCUGAACCAGCCAAGUCGCGUGAAGGAUGAAGGUUUUAUGAAUUGUAAACUUCUUUUGCAGGGGAAUAAAGUGUCCGACGUGUCGGAUUUUGUAUGUACUCUGCGAAUAAGGAUCGGCUAACUCCGUGCCAGCAGCCGC
rnacentral:rRNA from 1 species